UACAUGCUAAGAAAGCGCAUGCCGGUAGAGUCUUUCUGUGCCUCACCAAUUUGUAAUUACUCUACCAGUAUGUUAAGCUAUAGCGACU
rnacentral:ncRNA from 1 species